rnacentral:lncRNA from 1 species
CAUUCGGCCAUCCCAUGCCAUGCACAAGCCGUCCAGUGAGCCACCAGCAUCAGCAACACCAUCAGCCGUACAAUCCGCAACAAAUUCGCGUAUCGGGAACGGUCCAAGAGCCGCAAAAUCCUGUAAAUGUGUGUGUAUACGUCGCAAAUUUGAGUCGGGGUUUUCGGUUUUUUUCGGUUUUGAGAUACGGGCCCGCACCCGGGCACCCGGGCCCGGACCCAUUUGAGACACUCCUACGUUACGGCUGUACGGCACGAGAGUACGGCACGAGAGUACGGACCGAGGACAGUACGGUACGAGAAUACGAUGACAAAACAAAUUGCAAAAGGAAAACAAAAGCAAGAUGGCAGCGAGAGAAAACCAGCCUGGAAGUCUAAAACUCCCCCCUCAAGCUCACCUGAGCAAUCUCAGCAAUCGAGGUAAUCUCGCCAGCGCUACCAGCUGCCCGGCACGUGAAUUCCCCUCCAGGGUUAUGAACCCCUGGGGGAACAGAAAGAGAACCGCCAGUCAUACACGCACACAUACACACACGUACAAGUCGUACAAGCUCAACCGCAAUGUGAAACAGGCGGGCGUGCAACCGUGCAUCCCCCCAACACACACAUACACACA